UUGAACGACUCUGCGAGCCAUGAAAUGGGAGGAUCCCGCAUAACAUGUGCAUUGGGCGGGUUAAGGUUAUUCCAACAUACGAAGCAAAAAAAGGGGCCCUGACAAGGGCUGUUUCCAACCAUCCAUGGACCCCUUAUUUUGUCAAACGAGGAUAGCUCGGGCAUGGCUUCAAAGUCAGUCUCGGUUCUGCUUUUCAAACAAAGGAAAAACACUUUCACAUACGGGAAAGGGGUCCGAGAUAUGUAACAUAUGUAAGUGAAAAAGGGAAAAAGCCGAGCGGAUUAUCGUUAGGAUCUCAAUUCGAUCCGGUAGUCGAUGGGAGGGAACCCUAUAUAAGAACAUCCACUAUUCGGUCCCGUUGGAACACUUCGCCUUGAAACAAACCACUAUUCAAAUACCCGGAAAUAUUUAUACUGACGCUCCUAGUUUGAUAUCAUCCCCCCUCACUAAUAGCUAUAUGAAGAAUAAUAGCUCAGUAAUCGAUUCUCGACUAGUUACCACAUUAUGCACAAGCAGGAUGUACACAGAGGGAAAGUCA
rnacentral:sRNA from 2 species